AGCAGUAGCCACGGGAAUACGGAGGGGGCUAGCGUUGUUCGGAUUUACUGGGCGUAAAGCGCACGUAGGCGGAUCGACCAGUCAGGGGUGAAAUCCCAGAGCUCAACCCUGGAACUGCCUUUGAUACUGUCGAUCUGGAGUAUGGAAGAGGUGAGUGGAAUUCCGAGUGUAGAGGUGAAAUUCGUAGAUAUUCGGAGGAACACCAGUGGCGAAGGCGGCUCACUGGUCCAUUACUGACGCUGAGGUGCGAAAGCGUGGGGAGCAAACAGGAUAAGAUACCCCCGUAGUCCCUGUCUCUUAUAA
rnacentral:rRNA from 1 species